rnacentral:lncRNA from 1 species
CAAGUACUGUAAAUUAAGCAAUUAGAGAUCAAACUGAUUACAGCAGUGAGAACCAAACUUAUCCAACACAUAUACACUGUAAAGUAAUUAAAUACAAAAGCUACUUACAAGCUUAUCAUAAACUGAAAAGAUUCAUAAUGGAUAGUUAAUUGGAAGAAAACAAAAAGAAAUAAACACUUCUUUUCCUUUCUCUCCUUUUGCUAGAAAAAUGCACAAGUUUCUUAUUUGAUCAACCAAUU